rnacentral:misc_RNA from 1 species
GAUGAAGAACGCAGCGAAAUGCGAUAAGUAGUGUGAAUUGCAGAAUUCAGUGAAUCAUCGAAUCUUUGAACGCACAUUGCGCCCCUUGGUAUUCCAUGGGGCAUGCCUGUUCGAUCGUCAUUUGUACCUUCAAGCUCUGCUUGGUGUUGGGUGUUUGUCUCGCCUCUGCGUGUAGACUCGCCUCAAAAUAAUUGGCAGCCGGCGUAUUGAUUUCGGAGCGCAGUACAUCUCGCGCUUUGCACUCAUAACGACGACGUCCAAAAGUACAUUUUUACACUCUUGACCUCGGAUCAGGUAGGGAUACCCGCUGAACUUAAGCAUAUCAAUAAGCGGAGGA